AACGAACGCUGGCGGCAUGCCUAACACAUGCAAGUCGAACGAGACCUUCGGGUCUAGUGGCGCACGGGUGCGUAACGCGUGGGAACCUGCCCUUAGGUUCGGAAUAACUCCCCGAAAGGUGUGCUAAUACCGGUUAAUGUCUUCGGACCAAAGAUUUCUCGCCUUUGGAUGGGCCCGCGUUGGAUUAGCUAGUUGGUAGUGUAAAAGCCUACCAAGGCGACGAUCCAUAGCUGGUCUGGGAGGAUGAUCAGCAACACUGGGACUGAGACACGGCCCAGAAUGGUACGGGAGGGAGGAGUGGGGAAUAUUGGACAAUGGGCGAAAGUCUGAUCCAGCAAUGCCGGGUGAGUGACGAAGGCCUUAGGGUUGUAAAGCUGUUUUACCCGGGAUGAUAAUGACAGUACCGGGAGAAUAAGCUCCGGCUAACUCCGUG
rnacentral:rRNA from 1 species